GCUUCCUACGGGAGGCAGCAGUGGGGAAUAUUGCACAAUGGGCGGAAGCCUGAUGCAGCGACGCCGCGUGAGGGAUGACGGCCUUCGGGUUGUAAACCUCUUUCAGCAGGGACGAAGCGUAAGUGACGGUACCUGCAGAAGAAGCACCGGCCAACUACGUGCCAGCAGCCGCGGUAAGACGUAGGGUGCGAGCGUUGUCCGGAUUUAUUGGGCGUAAAGAGCUCGUAGGCGGCUUGUCGCGUCGACUGUGAAAACCCGCAGCUCAACUGCGGGCCUGCAGUCGAUACGGGCAGGCUAGAGUUCGGUAGGGGAGACUGGAAUUCCUGGUGUAGCGGUGAAAUGCGCAGAUAUCAGGAGGAACACCGGUGGCGAAGGCGGGUCUCUGGGCCGAUACUGACGCUGAGGAGCGAAAGCGUGGGGAGCGAACAGGAUUAGAUACCCUGGUAGUCCACGCUGUAAACGUUGGGCGCUAGGUGUGGGGGGCCUCUCCGGUUCCCUGUGCCGCAGCUAACGCAUUAAGCGCCCCGCCUGGGGAGUACGGCCGCAAGGCUAAAACUCAAAGGAAUUGACGGAAGC
rnacentral:rRNA from 1 species